CCGAGUGAGGGCCUCCGGCCCGACCUCCAACCCUUUGUUAUCAAAACCACCGUUGCCUCGGGGGCGACCCGGGCCCGUCGGUUCGGGGCCCCCGACGGACAAUCUUAAAACACUGCAUCUUUGCGUCGGAUUACAAAGUUUAAUGAAUUA
rnacentral:misc_RNA from 1 species